AAACUGCGAAUGGCUCAUUAUAUAAGUUAUCGUUUAUUUGAUAAUACUUUACUACUUGGAUAACCGUGGUAAUUCUAGAGCUAAUACAUGCUGAAAAUCCCGACUUCGGAAGGGAUGUAUUUAUUAGAUUAAAAACCAAUGCCCCUCGGGGCUCUCUGGUGAAUCAUGAUAACUAGUCGAAUCGACAGGCCUUGUGCCGGCGAUGGCUCAUUCAAAUUUCUUCCCUAUCAACUUUCGAUGUUUGGGUAUUGGCCAAACAUGGUGGCAACGGGUAACGGAGGGUUAGGGCUCGACCCCGGAGAAGGAGCCUGAGAAACGGCUACUACAUCCAAGGAAGGCAGCAGGCGCGCAAAUUACCCAAUCCCGACACGGGGAGGUAGUGACAAUAAAUACUGAUACAGGGCUCUUUUGGGUCUUGUAAUCGGAAUGAGUACAAUUUAAAUCCCUUAACGAGGAACAAUUGGAGGGCAAGUCUGGUGCCAGCAGCCGCGGUAAUUCCAGCUCCAAUAGCGUAUAUUAAAGUUGUUGUGGUUAAAAAGCUCGUAGUUGAACCUUGGGCCUGGCUGGCCGGUCCGCCUCACCGCGUGCACUGGUCCGGCCGGGCCUUUCCCUCUGCGGAACCCCAUGCCCUUCACUGGGUGUGGCGGGGAAACAGGACUUUUACUUUGAAAAAAUUAGAGUGCUCAAGGCAGGCCUAUGCUCGAAUACAUUAGCAUGGAAUAAUAGAAUAGGACGUGUGGUUCUAUUUUGUUGGUUUCUAGGACCGCCGUAAUGAUUAAUAGGGACAGUCGGGGGCAUCAGUAUUCAAUUGUCAGAGGUGAAAUUCUUGGAUUUAUUGAAGACUAACUACUGCGAAAGCAUUUGCCAAGGAUGUUUUCAUUAAUCAGGAACGAAAGUUAGGGGAUCGAAGACGAUCAGAUACCGUCGUAGUCUUAACCAUAAACUAUGCCGACUAGGGAUCGGACGAUGUUACAUUUUUGACGCGUUCGGCACCUUACGAGAAAUCAAAGUG
rnacentral:rRNA from 1 species